GUUUUAACCCAAAGUAGUCAACCACUCCGAGCAUUCGAGAGAUCUAAGGUGGAACAGAAGGUCAGCGAAGCUCAUCGGCGGUGAUGGCGACGGUGAAGCACGUGUUGCUAGCCAAGUUCAAGGAUGACGUCCCCGCAGAGAAGGUAGAUGAGCUCAUCAAGGGUUAUGCCAACCUCGUUCCGCUUAUCGAACCCAUGAAGGCUUUCCACUGGGGGACGGAUGUAAGCACUGAGAACAUGCACCAAGGUUUCACCCAUGUAUUUGAAUCAACUUUUGAAAGUGUGGAAGGCAUCACUGAGUACGUUGUACAUCCAGCUCAUGUCGAAUUCGCCAAUGUGUUCUUACCUGCGCUUGAUAAAGUCAUCGUCAUCGAUUAUAAGCCUACGACUGUGGAUGCAUGAUGUGAGCAUGAAAGGGUCUCUCUCUCAAUAUAUUCUAUGAACUUCGUGUGUGUUUUUUUCUUUAAGAAUGAUUUGUUGUGGAUGUA
rnacentral:misc_RNA from 1 species